AGGGUUCGAUUCUGGCUCAGGAUGAACGCUAGCGACAGGCUUAACACAUGCAAGUCGAGGGGCAGCACGGGAGUAGCAAUACAACUGGUGGCGACCGGCGCACGGGUGAGUAACGCGUAUGCAACCUACCUAUCAGGAGGGGAAUAACCCGGCGAAAGUCGGACUAAUACCGCAUAAAACAGGGGCACCGCAUGGUGAUAUUUGUUAAAGAAAUUCGCUGAUAGAUGGGCAUGCGUUCCAUUAGGUAGUUGGUGAGGUAACGGCUCACCAAGCCGACGAUGGAUAGGGGAACUGAGAGGUUGGUCCCCCACACUGGUACUGAGACACGGACCAGACUCCUACGGGAGGCAGCAGUGAGGAAUAUUGGUCAAUGGGCGGGAGCCUGAACCAGCCAAAGUCGCGUGAAGGAAGAAGGAUCUAUGGUUCGUAAACUUCUUUUGCAGGGGAAUAAAGUGCGGGACGUGUCCUGUUUUGUAUGUACCCUGAGAAUAAGGAUCGGCUAACUCCGUGCCAGCCGCCGC
rnacentral:rRNA from 1 species